rnacentral:lncRNA from 1 species
GGUAAUUUAAGGUAUGUGGGCCGGAAAUAAACCAUAAUUAGAGUUCUAGUCGUAAUGGGACGGCUCAAUUAUUUCCUAUAUAUAAAGGCUAGGUCCCCUCUCCUCUCCAUAUGUUUUAUUGGUUUGCCCCAUUGAUAGCUAUUACUUUGUGAGGAGCAAGGAGGGGAAGAUCUUGGCUGCUAUUACAACAAUUAUUUAUAUCAAUAAUGGCUUCCGCAGGUAUGAAUUCGAUUUAUCAAUUAUUAUUAUGUGAUUCUUGUUCUUAGCAUGAUUACAAUAAAAUUCAAUAAUUGGUAUCAGAGCAUUCAUGCUGAGAUUAGAAUCCUUAAUAAACCAAUAUGUUCCCUCGUUUUCUGCAAUAAUCAAGAAGUUGGCUUUUCAUAUUUUUCUUUUUCUGGCAAUUUGAGAGAGUUGAGACUUAAGAGUUAUUAUCCUCCUCACCAAUACCUUUAUUAAAUAUACACGCAUGGAAUGCAUAUACAAUAUAUGCACUAUCAAUUCCUUUUUGGGUCGUAAUCAGCACUGGAAAACCCCAACUAUGCCGCUAUCACCAUGUGACCCUUACCACCAAUGUAUUUUUUUUAUUAUUAUUAUUAUUUUUUUCCUUCUUUCCCAUUCUCCAGUAAUCUUUGAACAUUCCAUUAGAUUUAGAAACAUAAAUCACAAUCCCAAUCCUAAAUUCGGUUUAUUACUUUGAAAGUCCUACUGUCUUGGAAUCAAAUUACUUUAUUGAAUGCCCAGUGAAUUCCAAUGUUGAAGACUUGAGAAGUACCAGACAUUCCAGCAGUACCUGAGUUUGAACCAUGGAGUGUCAUGGAAGUUUCACAGUAUAUAUACAUUUGCACGACACUGAUGCCAAAAUAAAAUCAAGCUCGGUCUACUUGCCACACCGCCG